GCCUGGGUGGCUCAGUCAGUUGAGCAUCUGACUUUGGCUCAGGUCAUGGUCUCACAGCUCGUGGGUUCGAGCCCCGCGUCAGGCC
rnacentral:tRNA from 1 species